CUUAAGAGUUGAUGGAUUUAACGCAGGGCCUCUGUAGUGUGAAACACCCCUGCAAGCAGCUAAAGCAUAGUCAGGCCAAGGUAAACAAUUACAUACGUACAAUAGAACGGUAAAGCAAACCAAGGAACACAGAAAAUCUGAGUAAUCAAAUAAAGCUGGGUUAUAAGCAAUAAAAGCACAGUUUAGUAGUUAAACCCACUCUUGGGUAGCAAGACACCACGACAGAGCAUUGACUGAAUGAAGCAAGGUAUAUGGUGCUGAAAAUGAGUUGGAGCUGCUUCGAGUUUAGAAUGAGAUUUGGGAACUGGAGAGGAGAUGGGAAGGCUAGUUAACAUAGGGGAGCUGGCAAUGAGAUGGGGAUAGUAAUGAGGUGGACAUCACACCGGGCUGAAGAAUAGACAGGUGGGGCUGGUGAAGAGAUUGUGCGGUUUGGAGAUGAGAUUGAGGUUUAUAGGGACACUAUAGUCACCAGAACAACUCCAGCUUAUUGAAUUUGUUCUGGUGAGUAGAAUCAUUACCUUCAGGCUUUUUGCUGCAAACACCGUCUUUUCAGAGAAAAUGCAGUGUUUACAUUACAGCCUACUGAUAACUUCACUGGCCACUCCUCAGAUGGCUGUUAGAGA